rnacentral:misc_RNA from 1 species
GAUGAAGAACGUAGCGAAAUGCGAUAAGUAAUGUGAAUUGCAGAAUUCAGUGAAUCAUCGAAUCUUUGAACGCGCAUUGCGUCCGCCAGUAUUCUGGCGGGCAUGCCUGUUCGAGCGUCAUUUCAACCAUCAAGCCCCAGGCUUGUGUUGGGGACCUGCGGCUGCCGCAGGCCCUGAAAACCAGUGGCGGGCUCGCUGUCACACCGGGCGUAGUAGAUUUUAUCUCGCUCUGGGCGUGCUGCGGGUUCCGGCCGUUAAAAAACCCUUUUAACCCAAGGUUGACCUCGGAUCAGGUAGGAAUACCCGCUGAACUUAAGCAUAUCAAUAAGCGGAGGA